rnacentral:rRNA from 1 species
CAUGUUCUUUUGAUAAUAAUUUAAGGUUUAAUCUGCUCAAUGACAAGUUAAAUUGCCGCAGUAUUUUGACUGUGCUAAGGUAGCAUAAUAAUUAGUUUCUUGAUUAGGAGCUUGUAUGAAUGAUUGGACAAGAAAUUUUCUGUCUCUUUUUAAAUUAUUUUUGAAUUUUAUUUUUAAGUUAAAAAGCUUAAAUUUGUAUAAAAGACGAGAAGACCCUAUAGAGUUUAAUAUUUAAAUUUUUAUUUAGUUUUGGGUUCAAUUUUAGAUUUUAAGUAUUUAGUUGGGGUGACAGGAAGAUUAAAUAAAUUCUUUUAUUUUUUUAUUGAUGAUUUUUAAUUUUUUUAUCUAUAAUUUUUAAAUUUAAAAUAAAUUACCUUAGGGAUAACAGCGUAAUUUUUUUUAAAAGUUCAUAUUAUAAGAAAAGUUUGCGACCUCGAUGUUGGAUUAAAAUUAAUUUUUGGUGCAGUAGCUUAAAAAUUAGGUCUGUUCGACCUUUAAUAUUUUACAUGAUCUGAGUUUAGACCGGCGUAAGCCAGGUUGGAUUCUAUCUUUAGUUUAUUAAUAUAUUUUAGUACGAAAGGACCAAAUUUAUAUUAUAUUAAUUG